AGUAGUUGUACUCGUCGAUAGAGAUAACGCUGGCGGCGCACAUAAGACAUGCAAGUCGAACGGACUUAACGAAGUAUUUAUAUUUUGGAGCGGUUAGUGGCGGACUGGUGAGUAACACGUAAGCAACCUGCCUAUUAGAGGGGAAUAACAGUGAGAAAUCAUUGCUAAUACCGCAUAUGCUGUGAGUAUCGCAUGGUACAAACAGGAAAGGAGCAAUCCGCUAAUAGAUGGGCCUGCGUCUGAUUAGAUAGUUGGUGGGGUAAUGGCCUACCAAGUCGACGAUCAGUAGCCGAACUGAGAGGUUGAACGGCCACAUUGGGACUGAGAUACGGCCCAGACUCCUACGGGAGGCAGCAGUCGGGAAUAUUGCACAAUGGAGGAAACUCUGAUGCAGUGACGCCGCGUGCAGGAAGAAGGUUUUCGGAUUGUAAACUGCUUUAGAUAGGGAAGAAAAAGACAGUACCUAUAGAAUAAGCUCCGGCUAACUACGUG
rnacentral:rRNA from 1 species